rnacentral:tRNA from 1 species
GGCCCGUUCGUCUAGUGGUUAGGACCUCGGGUUUUCAUCUCGGUAACAGGAGUUCGAUUCUCCUACGGGCUACAA